GACGAACGCUGGCGGCGUGCUUAACACAUGCAAGUCGAACGGAAAGGCUCCAGCUUGCUGGAGUACUCGAGUGGCGAACGGGUGAGUAACACGUGGGUAAUCUGCCCUGCACUCUGGGAUAAGCCUGGGAAACUGGGUCUAAUACUGGAUAUGACCUUUCUCCUUAUGGGGUUUGGUGGAAAGUUUUUCGGUGUAGGAUGAGCCCGCGGCCUAUCAGCUUGUUGGUGGGGUGAUGGCCUACCAAGGCGACGACGGGUAGCCGGCCUGAGAGGGUGAUCGGCCACAUUGGGACUGAGAUACGGCCCAGACUCCCACGGGAGGCAGCAGUGGGGAAUAUUGCACAAUGGGCGGAAGCCUGAUGCAGCGACGCCGCGUGAGGGAUGACGGCCUUCGGGUUGUAAACCUCUUUCAGCAGGGACGAAGCGUAAGUGACGGUACCUGCAGAAGAAGCACCGGCUAACUAUGUG
rnacentral:rRNA from 1 species